rnacentral:rRNA from 1 species
GGGGUGCAGCAGGCGCGAAACCUUAGCAAUGUGCGAAAGCACGACUGGGUCAGUCCGAGUGAUUCCUGAUAAAGGAGUCUUUUGCCUGUCCUAAAAGCACAGGUGAAUAAGGGGUGGGCAAGUCUGGUGUCAGCCGCCGCGGUAAUACCAGCACCUCGAGUGGUCAGGACGUUUAUUGGGCCUAAAGCAUCCGUAGCCGGCUCUGCAAGUCUUCGGUUAAAUCCACCUGCUCAACAGAUGGGCCGCUGGAGAUACUACAGAGCUAGGGAGUGGGAGAGGCAGACGGUAUUCAGUGGGUAGGGGUAAAAUCCUCUGAUCCAUUGAGGACCACCAGUGGCGAAGGCGGUCUGCCAGAACACGUUCGACGGUGAGGGAUGAAAGCUGGGGGAGCAAACCGGAUUAGAUACCCGGGUAGUCCCAGCUGUAACACGAUGCAAAGCUCGGUGAUGCAUUGGCUUAUGGCCAAUGCAGUGCCGCAGGNAAGCCGUUAAGUU